rnacentral:lncRNA from 1 species
CAGAAUUGUUCACAUUCACCCACUCUGCAGGUGUGUAAAUGACAUGUUCUAAUGGAUAGAUUGGUGCUUUUGACACUAUCUUUCAUGUCUCACUUUAUCUAUUCCUCUCUUUUCUUUCACAGCCAAACUGGCUCGCCUGUCCCUCUCCCUCCCUCCUCUCCCUCUUGCUCUCCCUCUCUCCUCCAGUCCCAAGGGAGGGUUCAGGGAGGGCGGGCUACAUCGAGACAGGAGUGGGAGACGGAGGGGUGCGUCCCCAGGAAGUGACCCCGAUGAGGAUGAGGAAGAAGAGCAGGAAGACGAAGGCUCCAGGAGGGUGAUUGUUGUCACGGAAACAGACGUUGGCAAAAGGGUGGGGCUCAGGAGUCUGCUGAAGUCGCCAAGGGAACCGAUAGACAAAGAGAAAGACAGAGGGAGAAACGUGUCCUUUUUGAUGAUGUCACUGUCUAUCUCUUUGAUCAGGUGUUUGUUUAGUUCCCCCCUACCCCCUCAUAUAUUGAGUCCCAUGUUACUCUUGGGCUUUUAACACUUUCACUAUAUUGGAUGUACAUGUACUGUCUCUGCUCCUUUUCAGUCCCUGACUCUUCCUCUCUGUUUCUGAAACAGGAAACUCCAACUAGUGAGCUGAGUAGUUCCACCCGCACCAGUCCAGCUCCAGCUCCUAACAAAAGCACUAAAUUUGAUUUACAUGGAGCAAACAGCAAAGGCAAAGACUCCAAAAGAAAAGGGGACUUGUCAGUCAAACCGAGGUCGCCCGUGGGGGCCAACUCAGUGACAUCCUCGCGUUUUAACCGUCAGCCCAGCCGAUGACCCCCACUUGGUGUGAGGCAGGGUUCCGGAAUCCUCUGAGUUGUUCUGUAACCCUCAGAACAGGAACCUUCUGAGAGUGGCCAGUGGAUUCCCCUCCGUCCAUAACCAUUCUCAGAGGCUAUUUUUUUAUCGAUCAGGCAACGGAAAGAAAGACUCCCGUUCUAAAAGCUGGACACAUUCCAGGUUUAACCAGGUACCAGUCCUUGUACGAGAAAGGUUGUUGAUAUAAUAACUCCUCCCUUUGCCACUGUAACCUAGGGUUCGAUUUAUAGACACUGGCUGGAAGUGGUUGAUGGCAAAGGCAGUUUGUCCUAGGCGAAGAAGAGUCUGGAGCUUUGUAAAAUCUGAAACGGAUUUGACGGCUAUGCAAUGGGAGUGAUUGUGUACCUGCUUACCUUCUCUUACCUGCUUCUUUCGGUUGUCUUUACCCAGUAUGUACUGGGGGAUGCACUUUCUUUUAGUCAUGUAUCUGUCUAUGUGUAAGCUUGGAUUGAAAUCUUAACUUUGUAAAAACGAUUUUCAUUUCAGUCAGUCAUACUUGUAGGCAGCAGUUGGGGCCAGAAAACAAUCUUAACUCCUGUAUUUGAGAGUACUCAUUCAACAUUUGUACAAAGAUAGUGAUACAAGUGUAUUCAAUAUAAUUUUAGAGCUUUUUAAUUUAGAUGUAUUCUUAGACUGCACGAAAAGAUGAAAACAAGCUAUGUUUCUAUAUACUUUUAUUCUAAAAGACUAUGUCUAGCUAUUAUUUAUUUAAUUUAUUCAUUAUUUAUAUAAAAAUAUUUCCAUGCUUUGUAAAUAUUGUUUAUUUAUUUUGGUGCAAUUAAUUUAUCUCUCAGAAUUGUUUGGGACAAAAUGCAUCUAAGUAAUAGCUUCUCGGUUUAAUUAUUCUUCAUAACAAAUAAAGCAAGAUAUUUUUCCCAACCCCCAAAAAUAUUUUGUCUAAUUUCAUGUCUUUAUAACUGCCAUCCUGUGCUUAACUUAUGUCCUCAACUUGCAGGGUUUCCCAAACUCGGUCCCGAGGCCACCCUCUGGUGCAUGUUUGGUUUUGUCCUAGCACUACACAAUUGAUUCAAAUAACCAACUCAUCAUCAAGCUUUGAUUAUUUUAAUCAGCUGUGUAGUUGCCAGGGAAAAGGUCAAAACGUGCACCCAAGGGGGCCCCAGGACUGAGUUUGGAAAACCCUGCUCUAAUAUAUAUAUAUAACAUAUUUCAUUAUUUUCUAAUAUGAUUCAAUGUAUAAGUUGUCUUGUCAUAAUUUUACUUUGUUUGAGGACUAUUGAUGUAUCUUAGCAUGAUAAAAUGGAAGCUUCUCAUCGGUAAAUAUCUCCAAAAGUUAAUGUAUUUGUUGAUUUACAUUAAUUUUCUACUAUAGCAACCCAUCAUGCAGUCAAGCUCCAACUAGUCCCUUUGUUUAGUCUGUUUCAACAUCCGUUUAAAACCUGUAUUGUUUAAAGAAUGGGUUUCAUGGGAUACUGUAUAAAACCAGGGGAAAUAAAAACAACAUAAAAACUGUGAAACAUUUAUUGAACUAUUUGAUGA